rnacentral:rRNA from 1 species
UAGAGUUUGAUCCUGGCUCAGAACGAACGCUGGCGGCAGGCCUAACACAUGCAAGUCGAACGCGUGUAGCAAUACAGAGCUGGCAGACGGGCUGAGUAACACGUGGGAAUCUUCCUAUCGGUACGGAAUAGCUCAGGGAAACUUGGGGUAAUACCGCAUACGCCCUUCGGGGGAAAGAUUUAUCGCCGAUAGAUGAGCCCGCGUCUGAUUAGCUAGUUGGUGAGGUAAUGGCUCACCAAGGCGACGAUCAGUAGCUGGUCUGAGAGGAUGACCAGCCACACUGGGACUGAGACACGGCCCAGACUCMUACGGGAGGCAGCAGUGGGGAAUAUUGGACAAUGGGCGCAAGCCUGAUCCAGCCAUGCCGCGUGAGUGACGAAGGUCUUCGGAUUGUAAAGCUCUUUUGGCGGGGACGAUAAUGACGGUACCCGCAGAAUAAGCCCCGGCUAACUUCGUGCCAGCAGCCGCGGUAAUACGAAGGGGGCUAGCGUUGUUCGGAAUUACUGGGCGUAAAGCGCACGUAGGCGGAUUGCUAAGUCAGGGGUGAAAUCCCGGGGCUCAACCUCGGAACUGCCUUUGAUACUGACAGUCUUGAGUCCGGAAGAGGUGAGUGGAAUUCCUAGUGUAGAGGUGAAAUUCGUAGAUAUUAGGAAGAACACCCAGUGGCGAAGGCGGCUCCACUGGUCCCGGUANCUGACCGCUGAGGUGCGAAAG